UACGGGGGGGCAAGCGUUGUUCGGAAUUACUGGGCGUAAAGGCUCGUAGGCGGCCAACUAAGUCAGACGUGAAAUCCCUCGGCUUAACCGGGGAACUGCGUCUGAUACUGGAUGGCUAGAGUUUGGGAGAGGGAUGCGGAAUUCCAGGUGUAGCGGUGAAAUGCGUAGAUAUCUGGAGGAACACCGGUGGCGAAGGCGGCAUCCUGGACCAACACUGACGCUGAGGAGCGAAAAGCGUGGGGGAGCGAACAGG
rnacentral:rRNA from 1 species